AGAGUUUGAUCCUGGCUCAGAACGAACGCUGGCGGCGUGGAUAAGACAUGCAAGUCGAACGAGGUUAGUUUUGUAGCAAUACAGAGCUGACCUAGUGGCGAACGGGUGCGUAACACGUGACUUACCUGCCCAGAAGUGGGGGAUAGCUCGCCGAAAGGCGAAUUAAUACCGCAUGUGAUCGCAAGAUCAAAGCAGCAAUGCGCUUUUGGAUGGGGUCGCGGCCUAUCAGCUUGUUGGUAAGGUAACGGCUUACCAAGGCUUUGACGGGUAGCUGGUCUGAGAGGACGACCAGCCACACUGGAACUGAGACACGGUCCAGACACCUACGGGUGGCAGCAGUCGAGAAUUUUUCUCAAUGGGGGAAACCCUGAAGGAGCGACGCCGCGUGGAGGAUGAAGGCUUUCGGGUUGUAAACUCCUGUCAUCUGGGAACAAAACUCGCAAGAGCUUGAUAGUACCAGAAGAGGAAGAGACGGCUAACUCUGUGCCAGCAGCCGCGGUAAUACAGAGGUCUCGAGCGUUGUUCGGAUUCAUUGGGCGUAAAGGGCGCGU
rnacentral:rRNA from 1 species